ACCGAGGCUUCGGCCUCGGGGACAGCGGCGAACGGGUGAGUAACACGUGGAUAACCUGCCCUCGGCACCGGGAUAGCCCGAGGAAACUCGGAUUAAUACCGGAUAGCCCUUUCGACUCUCGAGUCGGUCGGAAAAGGUAGCUUCGGCCUCUGGCCGAGGAUGGGUCCGCGGCGGAUUAGCUUGUUGGUGGGGUAAUGGCCUACCAAGGCUCCGAUCCGUAGCUGGUCUGAGAGGACGAUCAGCCACACUGGGACUGAGACACGGCCCAGACUCCUACGGGAGGCAGCAGUGGGGAAUCUUGCGCAAUGGGCGAAAGCCUGACGCAGCGACGCCGCGUGAGGGAAGAAGGCCUUCGGG
rnacentral:rRNA from 1 species